ensembl:lncRNA
AUCCAGGGGUUACGCGUUGUCGCUGCUGGUAUGGCGAACUCUGCUUGCCUCAGGCUUGUCCGGUACUGGCGGGACAAUAACCCUUGCUCUUCAGAUGGUUACUUCUUGCCUUACUGGCUGCUCUGCGUAUGGCUUCCCAUGCUCGUGUCUGCCUCAGAUUAUUGUACUGUUUUUUCUUCCACUGAACGGUAAUAGCUCGGUUGUUUCUCAGAACAAAUCUAAGGUAAAGCUUCUACAUCGCUCUUUCCCCACUACCACAUUCGAGAAAAGUCUUUGCAACCAAAUCAUUGAAAACUUCUGUUUUCCUCUUCUGGAGAAAGAACUUGGUUAAGGAUGGCCAUCGGGAGGAUUUUCCAACCUUAAUGAUUGCAUGACUCCGCGCUCAGAAAUCUGCUUGAAUUUACUUCACGUCAGGAAGUGCAGGGGUAGUCUGUCUAUUAGAAUCAUAGGAUCGCGGAAUCGGUUGAGUUGGAAGGCACCUUUGAAGGUCGGCUGUUCCAAGUCUCUAUUCCCAGAACUUUGCAAAAGGGAUCCUACCUCCCACAGACUCACUCUUUUGGAGGGUGCUUCUGGCACCGGCAUGGGCAGCAGCCAGGAGACAGAAGGGCCACUCGAAGUGCGGAGAAAUCCUUAUGUUACCUUGAAAUAACGUGGCAAAGGAGAGCAGCUUGUGUGUGGAAAAAGCCCUGGGGCGAAGGGACGGAGCUUUUCCUCUGGUCUCAUUUGUUAUAUCUGUGCAAAUUUCUGUAGCAAAUAAGCUAACAGUUAUACAGGCAAUAAUCUUAUUUACCUCGCGGUCAUGAUCCGUUCAUUUUCCCAUGCUAAAUGAGACAGUGGUCUGCUGGAAAAAGUAAUGUAACGUCUUUGAUAUUAUGACCAUAAGCAGUCCAAUUUAGAAUUGCACAAGUAAUUUUUGUUCCAGUCUCUGGAUGCUUGAUCUUUUUCCAACCCCACACAUCCUUUAACGUAAACAAAAGUACUCAUUAAAUGAUUACCUGCACCCACCAGAACAGCCCUUCACCUUGCUGGGUGCAAACACAAAGACAGCCCGUGUGGCACAGAGUUCAGGGCUCGGCACUGACAGAACCCCCACCCCAAUGCAGCAGAGUCUCCUUGCCACACUGUGUGAAAGAAGGGAUCUAACUGCACACAUAUGUUCAAGUCCUCUGAAAUUUGUUCCAAGCUGCUAGUUCAUCAGCAAAUACAUGUUAUCAUCAAAGGCCAAUAAAGCCUGGUUGGAAGUAUCGUUGUGUACAAAGGCCAGGAAUUAUGUUAUUCCCGACUGCUACUCUUUAAAGCAAAAACAUCAUCUUCCAGAGGAAAGCGGACCUGCUGAACACACUUCAGUGCUGGAAUUUGUUCAAGGUUCCAGCUCUUCUCUGAGCCUCCUCUAAUGUUUUGCCACCAGUGCUGCAUUAAGCUGAGUAGAUACGGGUUUUGCAUCUCAAUAGAGUCUCCUCCAGUUCUAACCAAGAGCAGCAUAUACUUUCUGCCAUCUUCUAAUGUCCGUCCUUGUCCAUCUUCAAGGCCAGGUUGGAUGGGGCUCUGAUCUCGUGCCUGACCUAGUGGGUGGCAACUCUGCCUGCAGCAGGGGUUUCGAACUGGAUGGCCCUUGAUGUCCCUUCCAACCUAAGUCAUCCUAUGAUUCUACUACUCUGCAAUCCUCCUCCCAUUUAUACUUGUACCCUCGCUAUUUUAUAACCCUACUUUGUUCACUGCAUCGCCUUAUGCAUUCGCUUGAUUAUUCGCUGUGAUCUGCAAACCUUUCCUGGUGUGAAAUUUAACACAGAGAAGCUUUUAAUUGCCCAGAAUUUUCAGUGAAGCUUGGUUAAAUUUCUUCAUCAUAACUUUUUUUCCCCCUCAGUCAGCACCAUGAAAAGGGGAAUCUGAAUGUAACAGUGUUUCCUUGAUCAGUUUAACCAUAUAUUUUCAAUGAGCCUUGUUCUUUAAAAUCAUUUAUCUUGUCUACAUGAUGUAUUUCUAUAAAAUUUGGCACACGGGGUACUGUGAAUAGACCUAACAUACAUAGCAGUGUUCUUGCCUGAUUUUCAAAUAAGUCCUAAAGUUGCUCUUCCGUAAGUUGAAAAGUAAUGAAUAAUUUGUUUAAUGUUCCUGAACUUGGUAUUCCCCUUAGGUAUGGCUGCUGUCUCACGAAGCUUCAUCUGCAGCUUUAGCGUGUAACAAAAAAAAGUUUAUGUGCACCUGCUGACACCUGGCCUACAUGUAAAACAGAUGUUGGUGAACGAAGUCUUUUUCGUGAGCAGCUGCAUUUACCCUGCAGAUUCACUCUGCCUGCUUUUAUGGAGAAUCACGUCCCUACUUGCUCAUUAACAUCCCCAAUUUGAUUUAAAUAUGGCCUCUAUGAAAUCGGUUGAAUUUUUGUUGAUCUAGAAUAUACCUAACUUAAAUCCACAAAGGAAACAAAAUGAAUUUUUAAAUCAAGUAAAUCUACAGUAUGAUCUUCACUAUCUCUAGGACGAGGAGACGUGACAAAGCCUUCUGAUUGAACCCCCAGCUCCAAGUAGGGCCAAUUGUGAAGUUACCCACAGGCUUGCUGAGGGUGCCCUUCAACUCAUCACCGAGGUCACUGACAGAGGUGUUACACAAUACCAUCAAGGGAAUCCUGGCCGCCAGCUGGGUCAGCUCAUUCUGAUCACAACCUUUGAGCCCAUUGGUCCAGCUGAUUCUCCCCAGCUUACCUUCUGCUUACCUAGUUCAUACCCCUGUGAUGUGCUUAAGAGAAGUCUACAGGUGAUUGUCUCAAAAGCAUUGGAAAAGUCAAGAAAAAAAGAAACAACAAGAUCACGAGGCUGAAAGAGGUCAGGAGGUCAUCUAUGUCCUCCCCCUCCUUGAAAGCAGGACGCUCAACGCCUAUCUCACUGCUAAGACAUUGGUCUAACCUGUUCUUAAUGACCUGUGAUGAAGACAUCACAGCCUCCCAGGUCCCUGGGCCUGUGGGCUUUCUCCACUUGGUGAAGGAGAAAGUGUUUUUGACACUGAACAUCCUGCUUUGUCUGAGACCUUACGCUACUCCAUUUGCCAUGCAUACCAUGUGUCUCUGUGCAUCCCAGUGUGCCCAUCCCCAACAAGAUGGCAUUUCUCUUGUCAGAGGUCAGACCUGCCACUCUAACUUAAGGUAUAGAAUCACAGAAUCAUUAAGGUUGGAAAAGACCUCCAAGAUCAUGUAGUCCAACUGUCCAUCUACCACCAGUGUUGCCCACUAAACCAUGUCACUAAGUAUUACAAUUAGGUCCUCAAAUUUAAUAAUGUAUCUUAGUAUAUCUAUAUACACACAUAUACAUAUAUAUUAUAGUACAGAUUAUAUUGACACAGCACUUCAACUGAAGAGCUCUCCCACUUAUUGCUUCAUAAAAUAUUAAAAGAAAAUACUAAAAAAUAUUAUUAAAAAAUCUGGUGGUCUUUUAAAGACAAGUGUCUGUACAUUUCAGCAAACUCCAAGCAUAAAAUGAAAGCAGAGUAAACUACACUGGGGAAGUUUGUGUGUAGAUCUGCCGAAUUUUCCAAAGAUAAGUGCUCUUACAUUAGUUUCUCCUUCGUCAGUAUUUUGACAAGUCAACAUAACAACAUCACUCUUUCACUACAGAAAAGUCUCAGUAUUAUCUCACUGGUAGCUUUAUGCCAAACAAUAUGAUAUGUAAAAACAAACAAACAUCCAGAGCUGGAGAAAGAUACUGUGUUUCCUAAGAGACUGAGAUGGUUGCAUUUGCUUGAGUUUUACACAUACAUAUAUAUAUUUUUAAACAUGUCACACACAGCUAACUAUAGGUUCAAACUGGGAGCUGUAUUUUUCCUCCUUUAAGGAUUAGGAGGUUCGGCUGUUGAACAGGAUCCCAUUUUGCUUAGGACUACAUAUUUAUUGUGAACAGUUUUUAUCUGACCAAACAUAACAAGCUAAAAACAAGACAGAGAAUGGGUGGGUAAAAGAAAUAAAGAUAAAAAUACAAACAAGUAAAAAGAACAACCUAGAAAUCCCAUCCCCACUCAGCACCUAGAAACUCAAGCUGAAAAGAACAAUGAGAAAUUGACCAAGCACGGGAUUUGGUAUGAGAGAGAGGUGUCCUACUCGACCAGCUGCUUAACUGUUGUUGAGUCACUCUGGGUAGAAACUAGAGCAGGGUAAACAAUGCAACAAUUCAAAAAAUUCAGGAGACACCCUAAGGUUUUCAGACGCGCAUGUUUCAUUUCAUUAGAAACUGCACCAGAAACCACAUCUCCGAGGAUGAAAUGCCACCACCACCAGCAAGAGGAAAAAUAAACAAAUAAUCACUGUGCAGAAAGCAGAGCACAGUACAGGAGAGCACAUUCUCUUUGGGGGAUCAGUGAGAGAAUUUUGAUUUCCUAUGAAAAAGACUCGAUAGGAGUAAACGAAUGUGAGUAGAAACAUAGCAGGAUCAUAACAACUCCAGUUUCUCCACAGGAAUACCAAGGGAGAACAUUUCAAUCACCCUGAUAUUCACUGGAUAAGCAACACUACCAGGCACACACAGUCCAGAAGGUUUCUGCAGUGCGUGGGAGAUUUCUGAUGCAGAUGUAAAAGGAGCCAAUGAGGAGAGGUGUACUGCUGGACCUUGUUCUUACAAACAAGGAAGGACUGGUUGGGAAAGUGAAGGCUGGGGGCAGCCCUGGAUGCAGCGACCAUGAGAUGGUGGAUUCCAGGAUCUUACAUGGAAGAAACAAGCCAAUUGGUGGGACUGAAACCCUGGACUUCAGGAGAGCCAACUUUGACCUCUUUAAGGACCUACUUGGAGAUAUCCUUUGGAUCUUCUUCCCCAAAUGAAGGAAGUAACCCUUUGGGACCAGAAGUCAUUUUCUGAGAGAAACAUUAGGCCAUUUACUUUAUUUCUGAGAAGAAUGGCAUGUUAAGCAGACCACAAGAUAGAAUUCACUUCUGAAAUGAGAUCUUGCAGAAGACAUCACAUGGUGUCACCCUCUCCC